rnacentral:rRNA from 1 species
AUCUAUACUGUGAAACUGCGAAUGGCUCAUUAAAUCAGUUAUCGUUUAUUUGAUAGUACCUUACUACUUGGAUAACCGUGGUAAUUCUAGAGCUAAUACAUGCUAAAAACCCCGACUUCGGAAGGGGUGUAUUUAUUAGAUAAAAAACCAAUGCCCUUCGGGGCUCCUUGGUGAAUCAUGAUAACUUAACGAAUCGCAUGGCCUUGCGCCGGCGAUGGUUCAUUCAAAUUUCUGCCCUAUCAACUUUCGAUUGUAGGAUAGUGGCCUACAAUGGUUUCAACGGGUAACGGGGAAUUAGGGUUCUAUUCCGGAGAGGGAGCCUGAGAAACGGCUACCACAUCCAAGGAAGGCAGCAGGCGCGCAAAUUACCCAAUCCCGAUACGGGGAGGUAGUGACAAUAAAUACUGAUACAGGGCUCUUUUGGGUCUUGUAAUUGGAAUGAGUACAAUUUAAAUACCUUAACGAGGAACAAUUGGAGGGCAAGUCUGGUGCCAGCAGCCGCGGUAAUUCCAGCUCCAAUAGCGUAUAUUAAAGUUGUUGCAGUUAAAAAGCUCGUAGUUGAACCUUGGGCCUGGCUGGCCGGUCUGCCUCACCGCAUGUACUGGUUCGGCCGGGUCUUUCCUCCUGGGGAUCCGCAUGCCCUUCACUGGGUGUGUUGGGGAACCAGGACUUUUACUUUGAAAAAAUUAGAGUGUUCAAAGCANGCCUUUGCUCGAAUACAUUAGCAUGGAAUAAUAGAAUAGGACGUGCGGUCCUAUUUUGUUGGUUUCUAGGACCGCCGUAAUGAUUAAUAGGGAUAGUCGGGGGCAUCAGUAUUCAGUUGUCAGAGGUGAAAUUCUUGGAUUUACUGAAGACUAACUACUGCGAAAGCAUUUGCCAAGGAUGUUUUCAUUAAUCAGUGAACGAAAGUUAGGGGAUCGAAGACGAUCAGAUACCGUCGUAGUCUUAACCGUAAACUAUGCCGACUAGGGAUCGGGCGAUGUUAUUCUUUUGACUCGCUCGGCACCUUACGAGAAAUCAAAGUCU